CUUGAAUCACUCAUCCUGGGGGAGGCCAGCUGCCAUGACAUGAGGCUACCCCAGCAGAUCUAUGGACAGGUCCACAUGGCAAGGAACUGAAACGUAAGCCGAUCCGAUAGCCCCGGUCUAGCCUUCAGAUGACUGCAACCCUAGGUGACGUUUGGCUGCUGCCUCUUAGGAAAUCAUGAGCCAGAAUACCCAGGGAAGUCAUUUCCUAGUUCCUGACCCACAGAAACGGAGACCGAUAUUGGCGAGAAGGACUGCAGAGGCCGGGGGAAGAAGGAGCGUUGAGACACCAGGAGAAGUCUUCAUUGGUGUGACCCUGCAGAGGUGGGAAGAGAACCAAGUUCAAGAGUCCACAAGAAGAGUGGCACAUAGAGCUGGAACGAGGACCCAGACUACCACCUCUGGUCUUGGAUUUGUGCUUCCUGAACUACAUGAGGCUGCCUCACGGUACCAGGGUCCCUGCAGAUACCUGGAGGCAUGGCCUCGAAUCCUUCUGGGACACUGUCCUAUAGUUCAUAGUGUCUCUGUGGAGAGAUGGAGGCUCAAAGUCCCAGGAUCUUAUUUCUACUCUGUCAACUUAGCCAAGUCACACCUGCAGAUUCUUUGAACUACCAAACGGCACAUUGGCUGUUCCCUCUGAAACAGCACAAGCCUAAAGGAUGUCACUCUCAAUCACACUUCAACUGCCUGCAGCCAAACCAAGAUACUCAGGGCACGGAAUUCAUCACCAGACUUCCAUCAGGGAGACAAUGUGAGCCGUCUUCAGCAACACCCUUUGAAACUCUUCUUGACACCACAACGCUGUGUAAGCAGAAGGAGGUUGUGUGGUGAGGACUAACCCUGCUGAGGUGACCCAGGUAGUUGGGUGCAGAGCUGGAAGAGUACCAGGGUCUCCUGCUAUCCCAUCAAGUACAACCACCCCACGUCCUGCAUGUGUAAAGAGGCUUGGCAGGGAUGGGCACCUCAAGGAAUGUGAUUUGAAGAUGGGGGUUCAAGGUGACACUAAAGGUCCUCUGCUCGAUUUCCUUGACCCUCGGUUCUGUCGUGUUGCAGGCCAGCUCUCUGGACUCUCUAGGUGGCCUUUCUGAUGACUGCUGUUUUAAGCGCAAGAUAGCAACCUUCGUCAUUUACCUAGGAGGUGCUCCAAAAGCCAGCCGCCUUGGGACAAUGCGCAGUGUAGCCCCGGCUCCUAAACAGAGCGUCUCUAUAGCUCCUAGGGAGCCUGGACAGUGCAUAACAUGGGGAGGAGAAGGUGCUGCCAGCCAGUAUGAGUUUCUCGAUCCAGAGUCGUUUUUAGGAGCCUACUCUGAUUUUAGAUGAAGCACCAGAGAUACAAGAAGCUGAGAGCCAGGUACCUCCUGGCCUCAGCUGCCUCCCCUGUCCAAGGAGAGCGUGUUCUGAGGGCAGGGAGCGUGUCUGUGGAGGGUCCACUGUCCCAACAUAGCAGAUGCUAUGUUCCCAUCUCCUUCCUCGUUUUCUCCGAGCCUUCUGGGAGGGGCCAGCCUAGCCCCAUCCCGAGGCACCCCUCUUUCUUUGAUGAUGAUGAGAAGUUUCUGUGAUUCCUCUCACUCUUCAUUUUGCCAUAAUCCCCUCUCAGCAGCAGAGCCAUUUGCCCUGGGGCUCCAAUCCAACGCCCAGGAGGACCUUGCCUCUGAGCUUCUCAGCCUCAGAGAAGUCAGCCUCCGCCUGCAGAAGCAAACAAUGCAGUAGAAAGCAGAGCACGUCCUCCUAUGUGACAGGGCCAGCAGGGCCUCUCGCACUGUGCGUUUGGACAGAGGCAGGUCAGUGAGCAAAAGCCCAAGGGAGCAGCCUUCACCUCCCAUGAUUCAGGGGAAGGCUUCCUGGAGCAGGUAGAACCCCUCCCCCCACACACACAUGCACCACUUAAUACCAGAUGUGGAAAUGAUGGGAGGAGAAGGGAAGGCCCAGGGAUAUGGAACUGUGAUGUUUUUUUACUUUCUGAGAGCUGUUGGGAGUAGGGACGAAGACUGGGAGAGGUGCAAUCAGUCUGGGAUUGGUUUAUUUUUAUUGCUUUUUAAAAUCAUGUGAAUAAUCGAUGUUUAUUGAAAAAAUAGAAAACACAGUUAAGCCAAAAAAAAAAAAAAAAGACAAGGAUCAUCUAUUAACAUCUUGGCAAAUACCCUUUUUCUAUACUUAGACACAUAGACAAUACUUUCGUUUCAUCAAUACAAUGUUUUACUGUACAUAGCUUUAAAACUUGCUUUCUUUUUAAAACGAACAAUAUGCUAGGACCUAUUUUCAGGCUAACAGAUAAGUAUACUUCCCCUCCAUGGAUGUUAUUGGGUCUGUGGUGUUAUCUGGUGGUUGGGAAUUUCUCGGUCUUUCUGCCUCCUUCCCCUCAGCAGCAAACAUGACGUGGGCACCUGCACUGGGCUUGGAGCUGGGCGAGGGUCCUUGGGCAGUCUGGGAAGUUUGGAGACGAGCAAGGCACAAGUAAGGACACGCCAUCUCAACAGACUCGUGACGAGUUCCACCAGCAGGGUACAGCGCCAGUGAGAGGGCGAUGAACAGAGGGCAAAGCCACAUGGAAGGGGGUGCAGGCGCCCCCUGGCCUGCCAUCCUCUGUAUCUCCUUGAAUGGUGAGGAACAGCAGCUGGGAGGCUGAGGCCGGGGUGUGGUUAGAGUUCUGGGGUCAAAUACGAUUCUGGCUCUGUCACCCACCAGCUGGGACAUUGGAACAAAUGACCAAGCCUUGGAUUAUCAUCCGUAAAACUAAUAAUAGCUACUAAUCACGUUGAUGUAAAUGUAAGGAUUAAAUGAGAGAAUGUAUUAGUCAUGAAUGUUCUACAUGGUAACUACCUUUAAAUUAUUAUUAUUGGUUUUGUUAUGAUUGUUGUUGUUGCUCUUCUCCAGGUACUGAAGAAGGCUCUGUCCUUCCCCACCAUACCCACCCCACUUCCUGUAUUUCUGAUUUCUCUCUUCUUCCCACUUCUAGCUUUCUCUUCUCUUCCCUCCUCCCCUGGAGAGCCCAGGCCUGGCAGCAGCAGCUGCAAGAAGGAGGGAGGAGGGAAUUGCCGCAGUCAUGACACCAGGCCACACGAGGGCAGCAAGCUCCCUGGAAUGGGGGGGCUGCCUCCCUCUCCCACCUCCUAGCCUGCAGACCUUGGCAGCCCAGAAGAAACGAAACUAGCCCACACCUGGGCCCAGGUGGGGAGGUACUGCCCAGAGACGGUCCACGAUCCUCAGGCUGAGCUGCCCAGGCCAGCCUGGCUGGCCCCCAGCAACCAGAAAGGGUCACCAAGGGGUCUCCAUUACGAGCGGUCUUGAGCCCAGUACAAUUUUCUCCUACAAUUUAAUCUACUCCCUGGAUGGCCUCCAGCAUGCAAGCCACUGACAAUCGCCAGUCUUUGCAAUUGAUUUCCUGGAAGCAGCUGGCCCAGCCAACAGCCACUUGAUGGAUAUGUGCGAGGGGGACUGCUGCAGCCGAGCGGGGUGCAGAAGGCCGCAAACCAUCCUCCCACACCAUGGCAGGGUCUACUGAAUAUAGGACGCAUGCACUUUUGCCCACCUGCUCCACCUUGAGGCAUCAAUGCGUAGAGAACGACUCACACAUGUACAUCAGGAGGCCUGGGACAGGAUGCUGGUUGCAGAAUUGUUUGCACAGAGAAGACUUGGGGAUGCCUUACCUGUCCGUGGGGGGAAAGGACUGCCACCUUCUGAAUGUGGGUGGCACCCCUGGAACCGUGCAGAGGCAUUAUUUAUCCUAAAAGCCUUUUGACCCAUGCUUCCCAGAAUUGGAUGGGUAAUGGGGACCCUGAGUGAGGGUGAGGGUGGAAGCAGAGCGGUUGAAUCAGCUGUCAC